rfam:Pan troglodytes isolate Yerkes chimp pedigree #C0471 (Clint) chromosome 10, whole genome shotgun sequence.
GCCGGGUGCGGUGGCCCGCGCCUAUAAUCCCAGCUACUCGGGAGGCUGAGGCAGGAGAAUCGCUUGAACCCAGGAGGCGGAGGUUGCGAGCCGAGAUCGCACCAUUGCACUCCAGCCUGGGUGACAGAGUGAGACUCUGUCUCAA